GACGAACGCUGGCGGCGUGCCUAAUACAUGCAAGUCGAGCGAAGUUUUUCUGGGCUUGCACUAGAAAAACUUAGCGGCGAACGGGUGAGUAACACGUAAAGAACCUGCCUCAUAGACUGGGACAACUAUUGGAAACGAUAGCUAAUACCGGAUAACAGUAUUUCUCGCAUGAGAGAUAUUUAAAAGUUGGUUAUGCUAACACUAUGAGAUGGCUUUGCGGUGCAUUAGCUAGUUGGUGGGGUAAAGGCCCACCAAGGCGACGAUGCAUAGCCGACCUGAGAGGGUGAUCGGCCACACUGGGACUGAGACACGGCCCAGACUCCUACGGGAGGCAGCAGUAGGGAAUCUUCCGCAAUGGGCGAAAGCCUGACGGAGCAACGCCGCGUGAGUGAAGAAGGAUUUCGGUUCGUAAAGCUCUGUUGUUAGGGAAGAAUGGAUAUGUAGUAACUAUACAUGUAAGAGACGGUACCUAACCAGAAAGCCACGGCUAACUACGUG
rnacentral:rRNA from 1 species